rnacentral:lncRNA from 1 species
AAAAUAUGUUUACAUUCCCAACUUUAUUUUUCAUGUUCACAUUUUUUUAAUAUUUUUGAAUUCAAUAAUUAUAGCGUGAAAUUGACCCCAUACACUUGUCCCUCAAAUAUAACGUUACAGAAUAUUAGCAUAGAUGUGACAUCAGUCAAAACGCCUCAAAACAAGACAUGGUAUCAAGAACUAGGUAAAACGAGCCACCUACAGAUUCCCCACGUGGCAGGUUCUUGACAUUUUUGCUAGCUAUCUGACCAUCCAGAAUCACAACACACUGUCUUCUGCCCCAUUGAAGCGUGCGCAUCGUUUUCGUGACGUCAGCUAACCCGUCUAUAGAUAAGCCCUGACAAUUUUAUUUUUUUACAGUCACAUUUUCUAGCUAAAUAUUUUACUAAAAUUGGACUGCAAAGACUGCCACAAAAUUAUCUGCCAGAUAUAUCAUAUUAUACCUCUGCAACUGUCAUAACCAAUAUGCUUGGUUGCAUUCAAGUUAUGCAUGCACAUCUGACAAUAAAAGGCUACAUUUAUACUGGCAGCCCAAUUCAGUAUUUAUUUCUCGCUAAUUGGUCUUUUGACCAAUCACAUCAGAUCCUUUCACAGAUCUUUUUCAGAGCUAAUCUGAUUGGUCAAAAGACCAAUUAGUGAAAAACAAGAUCACCAACAAGAAUUGGCUGCCUGUCUAAACACAGCCUAAGUACAAUGACCCUUAUGCACCAUGGACCAAUGUACUGUGUAAAGAGAUAGACUGGAUACCCUGGACUGGAUACCCUGGAGUGGUGAGUAGGACAGGAGACUGUAAAUCUGAAUUCUCCUAGCCAGUCCAUUGGAGUUUGUGGGCUUCCUGGGAUUACAUUAUGGAGUGUAGCUCCCAAGUCUUUAAAAUAAGAUUAAAAAGUGAAAACUUGUAUUUUUCCUCUCAAGGGACCAGGCCUAAGGAUUUUUUGGAAGCUGUCUUUGCUGCAUUUCUCUAAGUGAGAUUUCUAGAUGAGUUUUAAAGCUGGUGUUUCAAUGGGAUAUUUACAAUAUAACGGGAGUAAUCACAACAGCAUACAUUUACAACACAAUCUAAAGUUACAGAUGAAAUACUGUAUGCCGUGUCAUAAAUGUUUUAUUUUCUCCAUGCGUUUUACCAUUAUGGUUUACCAUUGCUACAAUAUACCACUUGUUGUUGUUGGUCAUGGAUGUUAUAUUGGGGGACAUUAUUGUAUACUGCAUUAACUGCCAACAUUGCACAUAUUCUCUAAUACAAACCGACAAUAGCAACAACCUUGUCACGUAGUCUUUGACACAUUUGUUUCUUUCGAGCAUUUUUUACUUUUACUAAUACUGACCAAAUAGUGGCUUUAACAUUAAACAGAAUAAAAUUGUGAGAGGUUAGCAAACAUAUAGAGUAUGGCAACAUGAUCAGCCUGAAGGCACUUUAUGAUGCUUGUUUAUUUUCUAUUGAAGAUCAGAAUGUAGUGUAAAGCCCUGCCUCUAUUCUACUCCUCAAGCUAAUCAUACAGUCUGAUGAUGUUUUGAACAUGUCAGGUAUUGUUAGGGUGAGGAGUUUUCCUGAUCUGGACAACUCAUCAGGUUGUGUGGUCAAGAAAAACUCUCGGCCCUAACUUUAUGAAAACCUGUAUUCCUUGUUUCUAACAAGUCUUGAUUCAGCAUUAUGAGUGUUAUUUGAGGCAGUUCAAAAUAGUGUUUGAACCAUCACCACACAGCAGUGCUUCUCAACUCCAGUCGUCCAAUAACCCCAACAGCAAAGAUUUUUGUUGUAGCCCUGGACAAGCACACAGAUUCCAAUGGUUAACUAAUCAUCAAGCCCUCAAUGAGCUGAAUCAGGUGAGUUUGUCCGGGCCAACAACAAAAUGGUGUGCUGUUGGGGGUACUCGAGGACUGGAGUUGGGAAACACUGCUAUACACUACUCCUAGGCCAGUGCAACCCAGUGCUAUGAAUCCAAUGAUAGCACUGUGGGUUUAUCAAGGAAUGAUUGUCUAUGAACUGACUGACACAAAUCAAACAAAGUUAGUUGCCUAUUAAUAAAGACAACAAAAAAAUGUAAUGAUGCUUUCAGGGGCAUCACAGCUUACUGCAUUUCACUUUCAAAGCUAACACUUCACUGAACAAAACAGCUCAAACUAGUCUCUACAAAUAAUCACUUAUACAUCAUGCUCACUGUUUGGUCAUUCAAGGAACAAAUAUGAAUGGCUACUGGGGGCAGCUUUUAGUUUUAUAAUAUAUAAUUCAGUUCUGCUUUGAAUUAAGCAUCAAGAUGUGAGAAACAAUUGAAAUGUGGUCGUUCUUGCACUAUACUGUAAGUCUGUCAUAGGGCAAGGUGCACUCCUGGACUGUCCAAGAUGUGAGUCUGUCAUAGGGCAAGGUGCACUCCUGGACUGUCCAAGAUGUGAGUCUGUCAUAGGGCAAGGUGCACUCCUGGACUGUCCAAGAUGUGAUGUAAUACCAGUUAGUCAUAAUGGGAGCUCUGGAGAGGACCAUGCCUCGCCACUCAUUCUUCUCUCCAUCCUCCUUCUCAAAAAGGUGCUCCACCGCUUUGCCUACCAAAUCCUCUGCCCCGUGAGGAACCUUGAUCUUGUUGUUGACUGAGGAAGCAGAUAAGUGUCGUCAAGGCAGAGACCAACAUCGCAUAACCACUGUGUCCCUGCUGUCUGAUCAUGCAGUAGCAGAU